rnacentral:lncRNA from 1 species
GUCGUCUCCACACCCGAGGAAUGUCCGUGUGUGUGUGUGUGUGGUGUGCACAGCGGGCUGCACACAGCGGGCUCCACGGUGCUCGAAUGGAGGCCCUAAUGUGAAUGGAGACUAGCCUGCUGGUAGAGACCUUGGCAGUGACCGCUGUGGGCAAUGAGCCAUGGGCCAACAAUAUUCAAUGCUGUGUACCUGAUGGAUGGUUACUGUCUGAGACUGAGGCUUUUUGGGCCAGGAGUAAAAGGACUUGGUUUGUACUUGAUUGCGUCCUGUGGAUGCUUGCCUACCAACUGACUCAUCCUGACGUGCCAAAGGUCCUGGCUUUCCCCUGUGUGGGUAAGGGAAGAAGAGAGUUCUAAUGAGAGCGUGGCUGGCAUCGCUUCAUGAUUACAUUCUGGGAAAGAUCUUGCCUGUUAACCUCUAGAGAAGGAGGGACGAUACAGACGUAAGUGGGCAUCAAACUUCAUGACCUUUGUGAGAGAGGGGCACCAUCAUGCCCAUCGAAUGAUUCUUGAGGAACAGAUUCAAAGUGGUCAUGAGCUGACCAUUGAUGAGAAUGUUGUGUGAGUUAAUGUUGUGUGAGUUAGUAAGGAGUGAUCCACUUCAGUCCCAACAAAUUGCUCUCGACCAAAAAGUGUAUUUCAACCAUUUCUAGAACGUUUUUACGUGAUUUGGGUCAUAAUACAUGUGGAUACUUCAUCAUUGUAUUGCCUUCCUGGUCCCCUCCCAGAGAGGAGAAUAUAGUGAAACAAUGAAUCUUCUCAUCAUAUGGUAGUCCAUUGUGCCAUCUUUAUAUAGAUAUUAAGUGAGAGAAGUGGUGUGAUUGACAGUGAUUGAUAGCAUGCACAGAUCUGGAUUCAGUCAGAUUUCCCAUGUUGAGGCUCACAGCAGAAAGGCCAGACUUUAGCUCUGUGGGAUAUGCACUGUCAAGAUGUAUCUGUAUUUCCAAGUAUUGUUCCUCCCUUAAUUCAUGGAUAUUGAUUACAUUAUUAUUGAAUCGAUGAAUAAGUCAAGACUAGUAUGACUGACUAAAAGCACAGACUUCCAGGUCUAUGAGGAGUGUGCAUGGGGUAUCUGAAUUCAGUGUCCCGAUUAAAUAUGGUCUGUGAGGUCUACUGUGUCUAUGGGAACUGUGCCUUUGGCUUUUCCAUUGUUCAUAUGUGUGCAGUUACUCGUCUGUCGAUCAAUACUUUAGUAAAAGGCAGAAAGUCCCCACCUCAUCCUCUUUUGAGUUGUGAAAGGGGCUAAUGAAGCAAAGACUACUGUUCUUUUUUUUCUGCGAGGACUUAGCUAAGCACUCUAUGCUGCUGUUUGGGGUUAGUGCUGAGUCGCUCAUUGCAUGGCUUAUUUUAAAACAGUCCAAUAAAAUACAUGUUAUGUAUUUUGUAUAACAUCAAACCAGUGAAAAUAAUAUAAGUAGGAAUAUUCAUUAAUAACAAUACAAGUCAUUUUAAUAAACACAUUAAUAUAAAAUAUUUUGAUGAACAGCACAAUUAACAAAACCUCAAAGACACAUGUCUAGCCCUUG